rnacentral:lncRNA from 1 species
ACAGGAAGGGGCCACACUAGUGCUGAGUGGGUGACAGAGCACAGGAAGGGGCCACACUAGUGCUGAGUGGGUGACAGAGCACAGGAAGGGGCCGGUAUCACUGAGGCCAUCUUUGGAAAACAGAAUGUGCUACACAAACAUGUAACUCAAAACUCAUUUAUAGAUAACUGAGUUUACAGAUAAAAUAGGAACACCCUACCCAAGGUGAAGGUAACUUCACCUUGACACUCAGCAGUUCCAGUUACUCUUUAAGUCUUGAAUCUGCUAAGACAGAUGACUUGCUAUUUUACCUGAAGUCUAUUUGAUCUCUUGUUUGGACACAUCAAGAGCCUUUCACAUUCAUCUACUGAAUAAAGCGCAUAAGUAGAUAAAGCCAAAAUUGCUCAAGUAUGUAAGAAUCAAGAAGAAUCCAAGUAAUGUCCUCUCCUUUGUGGUCGAGGAAAACGUAAAACUUCAAGUCAAGACUUAAACCUGCCAGCACCGUUUCAAAUGGGAUCAUUUCACGUGUUCUCUUUACUCCAGAAUGAGAGAAGGUCACAGCUGGAAGGGCUUGAAUGCAUUUAGCUGGGACUCUUGCCUGGUACCAGAACCUGCACAGGGCACUCCCAAGGAGACGUGCACUGUGGCCAGCAGCUCUGCCAGCCCAUGCAGGCUGCUUCCUUUUCCUGAGUUGUUACCUUUCAAUGAAUUUCAUCGGUCAGUGCUAGUUCUUCCUUUGUCCAAACUGUCACCCUGAUAACUACACCCAUUUCUUCCAUCUGUUUCUGUGCAUAACAUGCUUUCCAGAUGCCACUGUCCCUGAAGGCAAUUCCCUGAACGUACUCCUUGAAAACAUGACACCCAUGACACCCAGGCCCGCACAGAGCCGUUCAAGCACAGUCACCUGUGAGGAACACAAGCUACAAGUCUGUUGCUUUCAGCAAGUGGGCACAGCCUCCCUGACACCGCCCAGCCUCCCUGACAACGCCCAGCCUGCACUCAGGACAGGUGCGACCAGACACAAUUUGGCUUAGGUUAAACUUGUGGUCAGGAUACAUGUCCUACCUUCUAACUAAUUUUCAUCUAGCUGCUAGCAAAUUAGAUCUUUCUAGAAGUAAAUGACUGUAUGUAUCUUCCUAAGCUUUCACCUUAAAGCAGUGAAAAUGUUUUGGCCAACUGUCCCAGCUCACAGGGAUCAUUUUGAAUCAGGAUUCUGUUAUCAAUGGUCAAAAUGAUGACAAGAAUUACUGAAGUCAUCACUGUUGGGAAAAAAUGAAUUUUGGAACUCAAGUGUAUUAAUUGGCUUGUUUGUGGGCUUAUAGUUCUCCCUAACUACAAGGUUCUUAAUUAAAAGAUUACUUUGCUGUCCAGAUGUGGAGUGGGGGGAGGGUGGAGCGAUGGGUGCAGGAAGGGGGGUCCACCUCCUAUAAACCCCUCUUGAAACUCACCUAACCAUAAAUGUUGGGUAUCAGUGUGAAAAUUCGGAAAAGGAGAAACACCCUUGAAUUAAAAGGCACUUGAAAAAUUAAGGCAAUAAAGAGACUCUUCUCAUUGAUCUUCCCCAUGAGGAACUUAAGGCAUUGAAUCCAACCAGAAAAAUGAAUGGUCCAAAAUACCUCAUGAAUUCCACCAAGCAAAGCA